rnacentral:rRNA from 1 species
GACGAACGCUGGCGGCGUGCCUAACACAUGCAAGUCAACUUGACGGAAGGAGCAAUCUGACCGUAGAGUGGCGCAAGGGUGCGUAACGCGUAAGUAACUUGCCCAAGGUAAGGAAUAACGUCGAGAAAUCGGCGCUAAUACCUCAUAAUGCAGCGGAUCCGCAUGGAUAUGUUGUUAAAGGUUUACCGCCUUGGGAUAGGCUUGCGUCUGAUUAGCUAGUUGGUGUGGUAACGGCACACCAAGGCUACGAUCAGUAACUGGUCUGAGAGGAUGAUCAGUCACACUGGAACUGAGACACGGUCCAGACUCCUACGGGAGGCAGCAGUGAGGAAUAUUGGGCAAUGCUCGAAAGAGUGACCCAGCAACGCCGCGUGGAGGAUGAAGGUAUUCUAUAUCGUAAACUCCUGUGAGAGCAGACGAAAGACAGAUUAUAAUCUGGAUGACUGUAUGCUCAGAGG